rnacentral:rRNA from 2 species
GGAUUGCCCCAGUAACGGCGAGUGAAGCGGCAACAGCUCAAAUUUGAAAUCUGGCCCCGGCGGGGCCCGAGUUGUAAUUUGCAGAGGAUGCGUCGGCGUCGGCCCCGGGCCAAGUCCCCUGGAACGGGGCGUCGUAGAGGGUGAGAGCCCCGUACUCUCCCGGGUCGCCUUCGCCGCGUGACGCUCCUUCGACGAGUCGAGUUGUUUGGGAAUGCAGCUCCAAGCGGGAGGUAAAUUCCUUCUAAGGCUAAAUACCGGCCGGAGACCGAUAGCGUACAAGUAGAGUGAUCGAAAGAUGAAAAGCACGCCGGAAGGCGAGUCAAAAAGCACGUGAAAUUGUUGAAAGGGAAGCUCUUGCCGCCAGACUUGCCGCGGUCGCUCAGCCGCCCCCCGGGGCGGUGCACUCGUCCGCGGCAGGCCAGCGUCGGUUCGGGCGGCCGGACAAAGGCCCCGGGAAUGUGGCCCCCCCUCGGGGGGUGUUAUAGCCCGGGGCGCCAUGCGGCCGCCCGGUCCGAGGAACGCGUUCGCGAGGACGCUGGCGUAAUGGCCGCAAGCGACCCGUCUUGAAACACGGACCUAGGAGUCGACGUCCAGGGCGAGUUUAGGGCUGCAAAGGCCCCGAGCGCAAUGAAAGUGAACGGAGGUGGGAACCCUCGGGCGCACCAUCGACCGAUCCUGAUGUCUUCGGAUGGAUUUGAGUAAGAGCCUUGGGCGUCGGACCCGAAAGAUGGUGAACUAUACCUGGAUAGGGUGAAGCCAGAGGAAACUCUGGUGGAGGCUCGCAGCGGUUCUGACGUGCAAAUCGAUCGUCAAAUCUUGGUAUAGGGGCGAAAGACUAAUCGAACC